GAUGAACGCUGGCGGCGUGCCUAAUACAUGCAAGUCGAGCGAACAGACGAGGAGCUUGCUCCUCUGAUGUUAGCGGCGGACGGGUGAGUAACACGUGGAUAACCUACCUAUAAGACUGGGAUAACUUCGGGAAACCGGAGCUAAUACCGGAUAAUAUAUUGAACCGCAUGGUUCAAUAGUGAAAGACGGUUUUGCUGUCACUUAUAGAUGGAUCCGCGCCGCAUUAGCUAGUUGGUAAGGUAACGGCUUACCAAGGCAACGAUGCGUAGCCGACCUGAGAGGGUGAUCGGCCACACUGGAACUGAGACACGGUCCAGACUCCUACGGGAGGCAGCAGUAGGGAAUCUUCCGCAAUGGGCGAAAGCCUGACGGAGCAACGCCGCGUGAGUGAUGAAGGUCUUCGGAUCGUAAAACUCUGUUAUUAGGGAAGAACAAAUGUGUAAGUAACUAUGCACAUCUUGACGGUACCUAAUCAGAAAGCCACGGCUAACUACGUG
rnacentral:rRNA from 1 species